GACAUUUCAAGAUUUCUCUCCUCAGUCAUGGAUUAAAGAACAGAAAUUCACUACGUAAUUGCCACAAUAGUCCAGGCUUUCCCGAGUCUUGCUGUGCUAUACUCUCCUGUUUGAACAGAUAUUUGACCAUAAAAAAAUAAAACUGGUUCUUGUAAUUUCCUGCGACAGUCAGAUAUCUCUACUAGAGGAAUCUACUGCUGUGAAUACUUCUAAAGAGGUCUCACACUCAAGAAAGGUUUUAUAGUUCUGCAAGAGAUUUUGAAUCUUUUGGCCAAGCUUAAAAAGACGGCAAAAAGCUGAAAAGAGAAGCGAAGUUGCUACAGGAAAAGGUGGAGAUGAAUGUGAUGUCCAAGAAAGCUCCCAAGUUGCAGCUGCAAUUGGCGAUAUUAAUGCUGCAGAACAUGAAUUUGUUUUGUGUCUGUCAAGCAUUAAUGGUUUGAUGCAGUUAAAAGUGAUGCAUUCUUAGUGUAAAAAUUAAGUACUAACAAGCAGAGACUAAUUCCAUUAGCCAUCAAGUCAGUAAAGUGCUAGCUGGUGCUGCUGAUUGGAACUUGCAUCCUUCUAGAAAAAUCGAAAAAGGAUACUAGACUUGCAAAUCCGAAUAAGAAGAAGAAAAUGUAU